CUGUCUCUGCCCCGCCCUCACGAAUGUUAAGGCUGUGUGCACCACUUUUUUUUUUGGUUUUUAACCCCUUCUUAACCUUGAACAUACAUUGAAAAUACAUACAACCAUAACUUCAAAUGCCGGACAUUCGAGGCAUUUAAGAAACUCCACCUGGACAGCUCCGAAAAGAGGACAUAUCCCGUGAAAAGAGGAGCCCCAGGCCCAAAUCCCAGUGAGACAAGUUCGCAUCAGCAAGUCUUGUUGGACAUGUUUUACUUGACAUUGUUCAGCACAAGCAGUGACAGUUGAAGGUCAAACUCCAGCGGCUGCAAGGUCAUGCAGACCACAGAGGAUGCGGCAAAGAUGUCCACAGCAAUGGACGUGCUUAAAUGGCAUCAAGAAAUGUCCAUUACAGAGGACGUGGACAAGUGUCCACCACAAUGGACGUGGCAACACUACACUUGUUAAAGUACCUGGGAGUCCACCUGGACCACAAACUGGACUGGUCAACAGAUGAAAGUGUGGCCACGGAUGAAACGCUGGCUGUCCAAAGUCGGGACCCGGGGUGGACUGCUCGUCUGUGCAUCGGUUGGGGACAUCUCUGCGCUGAUGACGUGUAACCGCUCGGGUUUGGUCUCCUGCUGGCCCCACUAUGGACUAGACACUCACAAUAUUAUGCAAGAUCCAUACAAAGGUAAGUAUGUAUUCAUUUAUUGCUGUGGUCGCCCAGGGAGGUCUCCACAUCUGCGGUCCUCUCCAAGGUUUCUCUUUGUACUAUGGGUAGAGUUUUUCUUUGCCCUGACGGGGGAUCUGAUGGUGUCGUUGUAGCUUGUCUAGUUCUUUGAGACAUAAACAUCUAAUGAUUGAUGAAUGUGUAUGUGGUUACAUACACAGUAUGUAUUUACAAUGUUUGUACGAAUACACAUAUGUAUGUAUGUAAAUGUAUGUACAUUUGAAUAUACAUACAUGUAUGUACAUACAUACAUAUAUAUACACAAACAUACAUGUAUAAAAAAUAUAUAUAUAUGUAUGUUUGUGUAUAUACAUGUAUGUGUAUGUUUAUACAUACAUACUCACAUACAUGUAUAUACAUACAUUUAUGUACAUACAUGUAUGUAUAUAUAUACAUACAUACCUUUAUGUAUAUAUAUGUAUGUAUACAUAAACAUACAUGUAUGUAUCUAUGUAUAAACAUACAUGUAUAUAAAUACAUGUAUUAUGUACAUUUAUGUAUGUACAUACAUACAUG